rnacentral:rRNA from 1 species
UUAGAGUUUGAUUCAUGGCUCAGAACGAACGCUGGCGGCAGGCCUAACACAUGCAAGUCGAGCGGAUCCUUCGGGAUUAGCGGCGGACGGGUGAGUAACGCGUGGGAACAUACCCUUUGGUACGGAAUAGCCUCGGGAAACUGAGAGUAAUACCGUAUGUGCCCUUCGGGGGAAAGAUUUAUCGCCAAAGGAUUGGCCCGCGUUGGAUUAGGUAGUUGGUGGGGUAAUGGCCUACCAGGGCGACGAUCCAUAGCUGGUUUGAGAGGAUGAUCAGCCACACUGGGACUGAGACACGGCCCAGACUCCUACGGGAGGCAGCAGUGGGGAAUCUUAGACAAUGGGGGAAACCCUGAUCUAGCCAUGCCGCGUGAUCGAUGAAGGCCUUAGGGUUGUAAAGAUCUUUCAGUGGGGAAGAUAAUGACGUACCCACAGAAGAAGCCCCGCAUC